UCCAGUCGGCAGCGCUGUGCCCAGUGAGGUCCGUUAUGUGGAGGACCUUUGGCUUUUCAUCCUCAUACACGCUUGUGGAGGCUGAUAAUAUUCUCCUUUUAUACAGAUCAGAAAACUGAGUUGUGAGAGGCAGUAAGUGCUAGUCCAGAGUUAGAGCUCAGAAUGCUUGAACUUCAAAGUCCUUUAAAGCUCUUAGCCGAGGGGCGCCUGGCUUCUGUCAAACCAACCCAAAUGAAGAUGAGGACUCCUAGGAUUAUUCCAGACACCUCUACAAGCUCUUGAAGUUUCUGCUCCUCUAGCCACACAAUAAAUGAUUUCGAUACUUCCCACAAAGAAAAUGUAGAGAUCGGAUAUUGUGGGGAUGCUGAUUUCUGCCUCUGAAUUGCUUCUUGAGUUUACACCUAUGCUUUGAUCCUGGCUCAAAGUUUUGGGGGAAAAAAAAAUGCUCCAAUAUAACACUCCUAUUUGGGCUGCUGAGUUCUAUAGAUUUUUUAUUUUAGAAGGACUCGUUUCUGAUGUGUCACCCCUUCAACUUUUUUCAAUCUGACAUCCUUUAUUGAAACCGAUCACUUGUAUCAAUCAAUGGCAGAUUUGGUUCUGAGGCCAUGUAAUCCCAGUUCAGGUGAAGUUCUAACUAGUUAUACUGCCUCCCAGUGUAACUUAUCCAACAUUGUAUUUCAUUAUUUCCCUUUAACGUGGGAAGUCUUUUCUAGUCGAGACAGUCUUAUUCUCUCCUAAAAUGCACGCUGGCUUUUUCUUAGGGUAUUCCUGUAACCAAACACCCUUCCCACUCUCCUAGUACAUAAUCCUUCUCUUGAAGCCCCAAGUGAAACCUACUCAGACCAAUAUCCCGGUAACAUUUUUAAUUUUCUGAAGUCCCUCAACCCUUGAUUGCUAUCAAUGUUUAAUCUUAAGAUUCUACUGGGAAUUAUAUGGAAAUGUUAUAAAUGUUUAUUGAAUGAAUGAGGAACCAGUGAUAAAGAUUGGCCAGAAAAAAAGGUUUAUUCCUCAGAUCUUCAGACAUAAAAAAAUUCUUUUCUUCCACAGAGACCUGAGUCUGUGGAACAGAUAUUCCAGCAAAGCAGUUUUCAUUGAAGUGGUCUUCAAGCAUUUCCAUGAUCUGUGAGAGUGGAAAGAAGAGAAAAUCAAGAGGGACAUUGGGUCUCCUGAGCAAUGAAUAUUCUGUCCUUUAGAUCUGGGUAGCACGGUGCCUAAGGAAACCUGAUUAAUAUA